rnacentral:tmRNA from 1 species
GGGGUAGUAAAGGUUUCGACAGGGGUCUUGCAGCUGGAGAAGCUAUCCGUUGCGACACGUUAAUCGCACAAUUAAACUAAACGCUGAAGAUAAUACUCAGUUAGCAUUUGCAGCGUAAGCUGUGAAUGACGCCGCAGCUGCGGCUCGUCCGCUCCGGGGCACUCACAACCCGGAAUCCGGGCGUCAUCCUUGUGAGAAACGACACGCGUUAAGCUUUGCGCGCGCGGGCGUAUCAUGAAGCUACCUUAAGCGUCAGAUUGUUCGUUUUCUGAUGCGGUAGGGAACAGGGCGGGCAAGGCCGCCCCCAAAAACGGACUAUGAUAGUAGAAGGACAGGGAAUGGGCUUUUGGACACGGGUUCGACUCCCGUCUACUCCACU